rnacentral:ncRNA from 1 species
AAAAAUUUGAUUUUGGUUUAAAAAUUAGGUAUUUUUUUAAUUUUACAUGAAAAUUUUAGUAAGAUUUAUAAUAAUUUUAAAUAAAUUCUUAAAAUUUUAAUUUGAUCUCAGUAUAAAAUAUUAUAAAUUAAAUAAUUUUAGAUUUAGUAAUAAUAAUAAUAUAAACAAAAAGUGUGCCAGCAGUUGCGGUUAUACAUUUUAUAUAACUUAAUUUUAUUUAGAAAAAAUAUAUUAUUUAUAGAAAUUUAUAAAAUUAUUAGAUAGGUGAAAUUAUUAAUAAUUAAUUAAAUUUAUAUAAAAAAAUAUAAUUUAGAAAUUUUUUUUUUAAACUAGGAUUAGAUACCCUAUUAUUUAAAAUGUAAUUUUUAUUCUAAAAGAGUAUUAGUUAAGAUCUUAAAAAUUAAAAAAUUUGGCGGUGUUUUAAUCUUUUCAGAGGAACCUGUUUUGUAAUUGAUAGUCCACGAUAAAUUAAACUUAUAUUAUUAAUUUUCAUAUCGUUGUAGGUUGAAUAUUUUAAAAGAAAUAAAAUGUUCAAAAUUUUUAUUAUUAAAAGGAAAUCAGAUCAAGAUGUAGUUUAUAUAUAAGAAAUAAUGGGUUACAAUAUUAUUAAAUAUACGAAUAAAAAAUUGAAAAUUAUUUUUUUAAAGGUGGAUUUGAAAGUAAUUUUAUUUAUUUAUUUAAAAUGACUUAAGCUCUAAAAUGUGUACAUAUUGCCCGUCGCUUCUAUUUAAAAGUAGAAUAAGUCGUAACAUAGUUGAUUUACUGGAAAGUGAAUCUAGAAUAACA